UUUCCGCUUGAAACAGCCAAUCAGAGCAAGGUGCUGUGCAGCUUAUAAACCCAUCUGCUGCCGAGCCUUUCCGCUCACUGUCCCCGCUGUCCUAUGAAUCAUUGACCCGAUCUUCAUAUUUGAUCUCCCGCAACCGUGAAGAUGGCGGCCCGGACCAUGCAAGCGGGGCGAUGCCCAACAGAUGAGCUGUCACUGACUAAUUGUGCCGUGGUGAGCGAGAAGGAUCUGCAGUCAGGACAACAUGUGACUGUGAAGACCACACCCAACCACAAGUUUGUGUUUACAGUGAAGACUCACCACACCGUGUCGGCUGGAACCAUAGCCUUCAGUCUGCCGCAGAGGAAAUGGGCCGGCCUCUCCAUUGGCCAGGAGGUGGAAGUGGCAAACUACAACUUUGACAAGUCCAAGCAGUGCAUCGGCACCAUGACAAUCGAAAUCGACUUCCUGCAAAAGAAGAGCACUGACUCCUCCCCUUACGACUCAGACAGGAUGGCUGCUGAGUUCAUCCAACAGUUCAACAACCAGGCCUUCUCUGUCACCCAGCAGCUAGUGUUCAGCUUCUGCGACAAGCUGUUUGGUGUGAUGGUGAAGGAUAUCGAGGCCAUGGAUGCCAGCAUCCUCAAAGGAGAGCCAGCAUCUGGAAAGAAACAAAAGAUUGAUAUCGGACUGAUGGUGGGUAACAGCCAGGUGAUUUUUGAGAAGGCAGAGAGUUCAUCACUCACAUUAGUAGGUAAAGCAAAAACUAAGGAGGCACGACAGACAAUCAUCAACCCAGACUUUAACUUUGAGAAGAUGGGAAUUGGAGGUCUGGACAAGGAGUUCUCUGACAUUUUUCGCAGAGCCUUCGCUUCCCGAGUCUUCCCUCCAGACAUUGUGGAGCAGAUGGGGUGUAAGCAUGUGAAGGGCAUCUUGCUGUUUGGACCACCAGGCUGUGGUAAAACACUGAUGGCUAGGCAGAUCGGAAAAAUGCUUAACGCCCGCGAGCCGAAGGUCGUAAAUGGCCCUGAGAUUCUCAACAAGUACGUGGGAGAGUCUGAGGCCAACAUCCGCAAACUGUUCGCUGAUGCAGAGGAGGAGCAAAAACGACUGGGUUGCAACAGCGGCCUUCAUAUCAUCAUCUUUGAUGAGUUGGACGCCAUCUGCAAACAGAGAGGAACUGGCGCCAGCAGCACCGGCGUGCACGACACUGUGGUCAACCAGCUGCUGUCCAAGAUCGACGGUGUGGAGCAGCUCAACAACAUCCUGGUCAUCGGUAUGACCAACAGGCCUGACCUGAUAGAUGACGCUCUGAUGAGGCCUGGCAGGUUUGAAGUCAAGAUGGAAAUCAGUCUGCCUGAUGAGAAGGGCCGUGUCCAGAUCUUAAACAUCCACACCAACAAGAUGCGAAACUACGGCUUGCUCGCUGGUGAUGUCGACAUUAAGGAGCUGGCUACUGAGACUAAGAACUACAGCGGUGCAGAGCUGGAGGGUCUGGUCAGGGCUGCUCAGUCCACUGCUAUGAACCGACACAUCAAGGCUACAUCCACAGUGGAAGUGGACAUGGAGAAGGCAGAGAAGCUGCAGGUCACCAGAAAUGACUUCAUGGGAUCCCUCAACAAUGACAUCAAACCUGCGUUUGGUACAAAUGCAGAGGACUACUCCAGCUACAUCAUGAACGGGAUCAUCAAAUGGGGUGACCCUGUCACUCAUGUCCUUGAUGAUGGAGAGUUGCUGGUGCAGCAGACCAAGAACAGUGAUCGCACACCACUGGUGGCUGUCUUAUUGGAGGGUCCACCCCACAGUGGAAAGACAGCCUUGGCAGCUAAGAUUUCAGAGGACUCACAGUUCCCCUUCAUAAAGAUCUGCUCCCCUGACAAGAUGAUUGGACACUCAGAGAUCUCCAAGUGCCAGGCGAUCAAAAAGGUGUUUGAUGAUGCCUAUAAAUCCCAGCUCAGCUGCGUGGUGGUGGAUGACAUUGAGCGUCUGCUGGACUACGUCCCCAUUGGGCCUCGCUUCUCCAACCUGGUCCUCCAGGCUCUGCUGGUGCUGCUGAAGAAAGCUCCGCCAAAGGGUCGUAAGCUGCUCAUCAUCGGCACCACCAGUAGGAAGGACGUGCUGCAGGAGAUGGAAAUGUUGGACGCCUUUAGCACCACCAUUCACGUCCCCAACAUCUCUACUGGGGAGCAGCUUGUCGACGCUUUAGAGCUGCUGGGGAGCUUCACGGAUAAAGAGCGGGCCAGCAUUGCGCACCAGCUCAAAGGGAAGAGGGUCUGGAUCGGCAUCAAGAAACUCCUGGUGCUCAUCGAGAUGUCGCUGCAGAUGGACCAGGACUACAGAGUGACCAAGUUCCUGUCUCUCCUCAGAGAUGAGGGGGGCGUGAGUAUAAAACCUCUGCACCAAACACAUUCCUUCUCAUCACUUGUCAACCUACAUCAGACUAAACCCUCUUCUUUUCUGCACAUCACAUUUUUAUGUUUGUCCUGUUAGCAUGUUAGCCUGUUUCUUUAUACCAUUUUUUGUUGACAUACCUUGAUAAACAUCAUUUACAGGACAAAUACAGAUACUUUGAACACAGUAAUGUUACACAAUAUUAAAUGUUGAUUUGAAGGACCCCAAUCUUGAAACUCUACCGUGCACACACAGAGCAGAUGUGACUAACAAUGCAGGAAAAGGCUAACAAUCACUGACAUCUUCUCACCACUUACUUACUUUAAUGGCUUUGUUAUUAUUAUCACCAGGUUGAAUGAAGGCGACCAAAUCCGAAUUUAAGCCAUCGGUCGCUCUUGCUGUGCUCUGAGGGCGCUGAUUUCCAAUUAUGGGCUUAUUGAAACGUGAUCGCAGCUUUUAUGAGUAAAGGAAGGAAGCAUCUCGACAUCUACAUGCCACCAGUGAAACAAAAUAAGGAAGAGGAGAAGAAGAAGAAGAAGAAGAAGAAGAAGAAGAAGAAGAAGAAGAAGAAGAAGAAGAAGAAGAAGAAGAAGAAGAGUUCUUCCUCUUGUCUGUACGUCCACGUAUCCAUCUCUCCAUCUAAUAACCUGGUCAAAGAGAAGAACACACAAGUCCUCUCUAUCCAAGCAUGUUUCCGUGGGCAAUAUCACAGUCUCACCUUCCUCCUACUCCUCUUCAUCAUCAUUAUCAGCUUCCCUUCAGACAUAUCACAGCAGUCGUACUGUUACACUCCUGUUAUCUCUAAAGAAAUCGCAAUAGAUGAUUGUAAAAAAGUGCUGUUUUGUGCAUCGUGCGUAAAAAUAACAAAAAAAGGCCAUGUAUGUUUUAAGCUAUAGUAUUUGAUGUAUUUGUUGCAUUUCUCUUGUUAUUGUUAGCGUGAUGUGUAUCCUCACAAACUCGAGACGUAUAAGCAGAAUACAUCCAAAAAUGACACGAAACCCCAGAGCCCUUUGACUAUUUAAGACAUGAGUUCAUGAGAGGCUUUUAGUGAAUGUGUAGUGGCUGUAAAAAAGAAGCUGUUUCAUGUAUAAGUUAACCCUUUAAAUAUACAGUUUGGAACUUCUUUAUGUUCUGUAAAUAGUAUAUAUAGACAAAAUACAGUAUAUGAUGAGAAUAAAUGAUCAGUUUAAAGUCAGAUGAUAUCAGUAUGACUCUUCUUCCUCAUGUCUCUGGAGAUGUUCAAAUUACUAGUUUACUGUAAUAGUGAAAGUUUACGUUGGAUUGUUGGCCUGUCUGUCUGUGUUGCGUACAGUACAGUUCAGUCAAGCUAGUGUCGCUUCGACAACCUCAGUGUUAACGAUAAAAAAUAUAUCCUGCACUUUUAA